rnacentral:rRNA from 1 species
GUGAAUUUAUAGCUGUAUUGGAGGUAAUGCAGGGAAGUGAAACCUCUCAGUACCUGCGAGAAAAGAGAACAACAGUUUAUUUCCUGAGUAGUGGCGAGCGAAAAGGAAUUAGUUCAAACUCAUAUUGUGUAAGAGGGAUUAAAGUUUUGAUUCGCGUAGCGAUGAUGAAUAAUAUGAACUCGUAGGUUAUCGCUCGUGCAAUAUGAGGGUUGUAAGAGUCAGUUGAUUAGUCGAUAAACUAAUCGAGAAGUUACAAAGUUUAACCUUAGUAGAAUAUAUCUGGAAAGGUAAACCAAAGAGGGUGAUAGUCCCGUAUAUGAAAAGGUUAAGCCUUCUUUCUGAUUUCUUGAGUACCACGGAUCACGAGAAAUUCUGUGGGAAGCUACCAAGACCACUUGGUAAAACUAAAUAUCUUUUGUGACCAAUAGUGAAGUAGUUCCGUGAGGGAAAGGUGAAAAAUACCCCUGUUAGGGGAGUGAAAUAGAUCUGAAACCGUAUGCUUACAAACAGUCGUAGCCCAGUUAACUUAUAGUUUGAAAUUCUUCUUAAGCCUAAAUUAAUACGGUAAAGAAGAUAGUUGUCGAAUUAUAAGGUAGCUGGGUGACGGCGUGCCUAUUGAAGAAUGACCCGGUGAGUUAGUUGUGUGUGGCAAGGUUAACCAUGUUUAUUGGGAAGCCGAAGCGAAAGCGAGUUUGAAUAGAGCGUCCAGCUAACCUAUAGAGGAGGUUCUGCCUCUUUUACAGGUUAGCUGAUUAAGUCACAUGCACUAGACCCGAAACCAGGUGAUCUAACCAUGAGCAGGGUGAAGGAAUGAGAAAUCAUUUUGGAGGCCCGAACCCGUUAAUGUUGCAAAAUUAUGGGAUGACUUGUGGUUAGCGGUAACAUGCCAAACGAACCUGGUAAUAGCUGGUUCUCCCCGAAAUAGCUUUAGGGCUAGCGUUGCAAUUUAAGUAUUGGGGGUAGAGCACUGAUUGGGUAUGGGGCUCGAAAGAGUACCCUAUCCAGUUAAACUCCAAAUACCAAUAUGAAUAUUACAGCAGUUAGAACUAGGGAGCUAAGUUCCUAUGUUCAAGAGGGAAACAGCCCAGAUUGUCAGAUAAGGACCCUAAAUUACAUCUUAGUGGGAAAGGAAGUGUAGUUUCUUAGACAGCUAGGAGGUUGGCUUAGAGGCAGCCAUCCUUUAAAAAGUGCGUAAUAGCUUACUAGUCAAGAGACUAUGCAUCGAAGAUUUAACGGGGCUGAAGAUGUAUUCCGAAGCUGCAAAUUCAUCCAGUUAACUUAAAGUAUGAGAUGAAUCCUUUUAGAAGGAGUUUCUUACUCUGGGUUAGCUGGAUGAGUGGUAGGGGAGCGUUCUAUACAUGACCAACUUAGCAGUUGAGAUAUCGCUGUGAAGGUGGCCUGUAAAGAGCUGCUGGAGCGUAUAGAAGUGAGAAUGCCGGGAUGAGUAACGUAAAGCAGGUGAAAACCCUGCUCGCUGAAUGUCUAAGGUUUCCAUGGCUAUGUCAGUCAACCAUGGGUUAGUCGGUCCUAAGGAGAGGUCGAAAGGCGUAUCUGAUGGACAACAGGUUAAUAUUCCUGUACUACUAAUAUUUUGCGAUGGAGAUUGAGAAUUGAGAAAGCAAGCCCCUUAUUGGUUUGGGGUGUAAGUAACAAGUUAGUCUUUCUAGGAAAAUCCGGAAAGACGUUCCCAGUUUACUGGGUGAAUAUGAGUUACGAUGCAAAGGUGACCUUCGGGAAUCCGAUUUGUUGUAUUAAUUCUCCAGGAAAAACUUCUAGCUGUUUACUUCGGUAAACAGAAGAUAUUGGUAACCGUACUGCAAACCGACACAGGUAGACAGGUGUAAAUGCACCAAAGCGUACGAGUGAUGCGUUGUUAAGGAACUCGGCAAAUUAACCCCGUAAGUUCGCGAGAAGGGGGACCUUCCACUAUAAGAAUUUUCUAGUGGUGAUGAAGGUGGCACAGAAUAGGGAGGGACGACUAGUUAUCAAAACUACAGGCGCUUGCAAAUUCGUAAGAAGAUGUAUAAGUGCUGACGCCUGCCCAAUGCCAGAAGGUUAAGGAAGUUUGUUAACCAUCUGUCAGAUGCAUCUCGGUGCUCUGACGGAGGUGAAGCGGACGACUGAAGCCCUGGUCAAUGGCGGCUGUAACUAUAACGGUCCUAAGGUAGCGUAAUACCUUGUCACUUAAUUGGUGACUUGCAUGAAAGGCGUAACGAUCCUUCCACUGUCUCUACAACGCGCUCGGUGAAAUUGAAAUGGCUGUGAAGAUGCGGCCUACCCAUACCAGGACAAAAAGACCCCGUGGAGCUUUACUGCAGCUUUGCAUUGAAAUAAUGCUUCGGAUGUAGAGAAUAGGUGGGAGACUUUGAAGCCGUUUCGUCAGGAAUGGUGGAGUCGCAAUAUGUAAUACCACCCUUUUGGUGUUUUAUUUCUAACCUCUACCUUUACCAGGUAGAUGGACAGUGCAUGGUGGGCAGUUUGACUGGGGCGGUUGCUUGCUAAAGAGUACCGCAAGCGCACAAAGGUCUCCUCAGCCCGGAUGGAAAUCGGGUGAAGAGUGCAUGAGCAUAAGGAGGCUUUACUGUGAGGGAGACAUCCCGAGCAGUUACGAAAGUAGGUUCAAGUGACCCUUUCGCAGAAUGUGGAAUCGCGAUUGUUUAACGAAGAUAAGUUACCCCGGGGACAACAGGCUGGUGGUGCCCGAUAGUUCACAUUGACGGCACCGUUCGGCACCUCGAUGUCGGCUCGUCACAUCCUGGGGCUGGAGAAGGCCCCAAGGGUUCGUCUGUUCGACGAUUAAAGUGGCACGCGAGCUGGGUUCAGACCGUCGUAAGACAGGUCGGUCUCUAUCCGGUAUGGGCGUUGUAUAUCUGAGGGAAGAGACCCUUAGUACGAAAGGAUCAGGGUGUGGUAACCUCUGGUGCACCAGUUGUUCUACCAAGAGCAUUGCUGGGUAGCUAAGUUGCUCUGGGAUAAGUACUGAAAGCAUAUAAGUGCGAAGCCCUUCCCAAGAUUAGAUAUACUUGUCCCGCUAACUUGUAGUGUAAGGAUGUAAUUUCCUUGCUCUAUGUGUUAGCGGGAUGGAGGUCUGUGGGAGAUAACCACGUUGAUAGGCUCUAGGU